rnacentral:rRNA from 1 species
GGUCAAGUUAUUAAGGGUGCAGGGCGGAUGCCUUGGCACUAGGAGCCGAUGAAGGACGUGAUAAGCUGCGAUAAGCUUCGGGGAGUUGCACGUAAACUUUGAUCCGAAGAUUUCCGAAUGAGGAAACUCACUUAGAGUAAUGUCUAAGUAUCAUUAAGUGAAUACAUAGCUUAAUGAGGGGAACUCAGGGAACUGAAACAUCUAAGUACCUGAAGGAAGAGAAAGAAAUUCGAUUCCGUAAGUAGCGGCGAGCGAACGCGGAUUAGCCCAAACCAAUAAAGUUUUCUUUAUUGGGGUUGCGGACAUAUCAUAACGAAGAGGUAUCGUAAUUGAAGAGGUUUGGAAAGACCCACCACAGAAGGUAAUAGUCCUGUAUGUUAAACGAGAAGACUUUAGAUAUGAUCCAGAGUACCACGGGACACGUGAAACCCUGUGGGAAGCAGGAGGGACCACCCUCCAAGGCUAAAUACUACCUAGUGACCGAUAGCGUAUAGUACCGUGAGGGAAAGGUGAAAAGAACCCCGGGAGGGGAGUGAAAUAGAACCUGAAACCCUGCACUUACAAGCUGUGGAAGCACAUUUCUUGUGUGACCGCGUACUUUUUGUAGAACGGGCCAACGAGUUACGUUAAGUAGCAAGGUUAAGCACUUAAGGUGCGGAGCCGUAGCGAAAGCGAGUUUUAACUGAGCGUUCAGUUACUUGACGUAGACCCGAAACCGGGCGACCUACCCAUGAGCAGGAUGAAGCGAAAGUAAAAUUUCGUGGAGGUCCGAACCCACGAGCGUUGAAAAGCUCGGGGAUGACUUGUGGGUAGCGGUGAAAUUCCAAUCGAGCCCGGAGAUAGCUGGUUCUCCCCGAAAUAGCUUUAGGGCUAGCCUCAAGGUGAGAGAUACGGAGGUAGAGCACUGAAUGUCCUAGGGGGUAUUGCACCUACCGAAGACUAUCAAACUCCGAAUGCCGUCAUCUUAUACUUGGGAGUCAGACUGUGGGUGAUAAGAUUCAUAGUCGAAAGGGCAACAGCCCAGAUCGUCAGCUAAGGUCCCUAAAUGUAAGUUAAGUGGUAAAGGAUGUGGGAUUGCACAGACAACCAGGAUGUUGGCUUAGAAGCAGCCACUCAUUCAAAGAGUGCGUAAUAGCUCACUGGUCGAGUGAUCCUGCGCCGAAGAUUUCCGGGGCUAAAACUUACUACCGAAGCUACGGCAUCAGUAAUGAUGGGUAGGGGAGCUUCCCAUACGGGUUGAAGCAUGACCGUAAGGACAUGUGGACAGUAUGGGAGUGAGAAUGUUGGCAUGAGUAGCGAGAUGUGGGUGAGAAUCCCACAGGCCGUAAACCCAAGGUUUCCAGGGGAAGGUUCGUCCGCCCUGGGUUAGUCGGGACCUAAGCUGAGGCCGAAAGGCGUAGGUGAUGGACAACAGGUUGAUAUUCCUGUACUACCGAUAACCGUUUGAGAGAAGGGAUGACACAGUAGGAUAAGCUAAGCACACUGUUGGUUAUGUGUGCCCAAGCAUUGAGGCAGUCAAAGUAGGCAAAUCCGCUUUGAUAAUGCUGGGAUGUGAUGGGGAGCGAAAUUUAGUAGCGAAGUAGCUGAUUUCACACUGUCAAGAAAAGUCUCUAUCGAGGUUAAAGGUACCCGUACCGCAAACCGACACAGGUGGGUGAGGAGAGUAUCCUAAGGCCAGCGAGAGAACUGUUGUUAAGGAACUCGGCAAAAUGACCCCGUAACUUAGGGAUAAGGGGUGCCACCAUCAGGUGGCCGCAGAGAAUAGGCCCAAGCGACUGUUUACCAAAAACAUAGGUUUCUGCUAAGUCGCAAGACGAUGUAUAGGAGCUGACGCCUGCCCGGUGCUGGAAGGUUAAGGGGAUCUGUUAGAGCAAACGGCGGCCGUAACUAUAACGGUCCUAAGGUAGCGAAAUUCCUUGUCGGGUAAGUUCCGACCCGCACGAAAGGCGUAACGAUUUGGGCACUGUCUCAACAACAGACUCGGUGAAAUUGUAAUUCCGGUGAAGAUGCCGGAUACCUGCGACAGGACGGAAAGACCCCAUGGAGCUUUACUGUAGCUUGACAUUGGGUCUUGGUACUACAUGUACAGGAUAGGUGGGAGGCUUUGAAACCAGGACGCCAGUUUUGGCGGAGCCAUCCUUGGGAUACCACCCUUGUAGUACUGGGACUCUAACCAUAGGCCAUGAAUCUGGUCUUGGGACACUGUCAGGUGGGCAGUUUGACUGGGGCGGUCGCCUCCCAAAAGGUAACGGAGGCGCUCAAAGGUUCUCUCAGUACGGUCGGAAAUCGUACGUAGAGUGUAAAGGCAAAAGAGAGCUUGAUUGCAAGACAUACAGGUCGAGCAAGGAUGAAAAUCGGACUUAGUGAUCCGGUGGUUCUGCGUGGAAGGGCCAUCGCUCAACGGAUAAAAGCUACCCUGGGGAUAACAGGCUUAUCUCCCCCAAGAGUCCACAUCGACGGGGAGGUUUGGCACCUCGAUGU